AUGAAUGGCCGCGGUACCCUGACCGUGCUAAGGUAGCGUAAUCAGUUGGCUUUUAAAUGGAGUCAGGAAUGAAUGGAAUAACCGGGUUUAGCUGUCUCCUUCCUAAUCAGUUGAAUUUACUGUUCAAGUGAAAAAGCUUGAAUAAAGAAAAGGGACGAGAAGACCCUUAGAAUUUUUUUUAGUGGGAAAUUUUUUUCUAAUGAUUUUGUUGGGGCGACAUGGAAAUAUAUAAAAACUUUCCUUUAAUACUUGCCGAUUUUGUUAAGUUAGGAUAAAUUACCUGAGGGAUAACAGCAUAAUUCUACAGAUGAGUUUGUG
rnacentral:rRNA from 1 species